UAAAUAUUAUAUAAAGUAAUCUUAUCUGGUAAAGCGAAUGAUUAGAGGCAUUAGGGUCGAAACGAUCUUAACCUAUUCUCAAACUUUAAAUGGGUAAGAACCUAAUCUUUCUUGAUAUGAAGAUAUAGGUUAUGAUAUAUUGUGCCCAGUGGGCCACUUUUGGUAAGCAGAACUGGCGCUGUGGGAUGAACCAAACGUAAUGUUAAGGCGCCUAAAUUAACAACUCAUACUGAUACCAUGAAAGGUGUUGUUUGCUUAAAAUAGCAGAACGGUGGACAUGGAAGUCGUAAUCCGCUAAGGAGUGUGUAACAACUCACCUGCCGAAGCAACUAGCCCUUAAAAUGGAUGGCGCUCAAGUUGUAUGCCUAUACAUUACCGCUAAAAUAUAUGAUUUAUAAUUUAUAUAUUAUAAAUUUUGAAUUUUAGUGAGUAGGAGGGUACAAUGGUGUGCGUAAAAGUGUUUGGCGUAAGCCUGCAUGGAGCCGCCAUUGGUACAGAUCUUGGUGGUAGUAGCAAAUAAUCGAAUGAGACCUUGGAGGACUGAAGUGGAGAAGGGUUUCGUGUGAACAGUGGUUGAUCACGAGUUAGUCGGUCCUAAGUUCAAGGCGAAAGCCGAAAAAUGUUAAAGUAUAUUUUAUUAAAUAUAAUACUUUAUAGUUUUAAUGAACGAAAGGGAAUACGGUUCCAAUUCCGUAACCUGUUGAGUAUACGUUUGUAAUUAAAAAUGGGCUUUAAUGCUCAUCCUGGUAACAGUAACAACCAUAAAGAAGCCGUCGAGAGAUAUCGAAAGAGUUUUCUUUUCUGUUUUAUAGUUGUAUUACCAUGGAAGUCUUUCGAAGAGAGAUAUGGUAAAUGGACUAGAAGAGCAUGGCAUUUACUGCUGUGUCGAUAUUUUCUCCUCGGACCUUGAAAAUUUAUGGUAGGGUCACGCAAAUUUCUUAACAGGCCGUACCGAUAUCCGCAGCUGGUCUCCAAGGUGAAGAGUCUCUAGUCGAUG
rnacentral:rRNA from 1 species